GAAAUGCGAUACUUGGUGUGAAUUGCAGAACCCCGUGAACCAUCGAGUCUUUGAACGCAAGUUGCGCCCGAAGCCAUUAGGCCGAGGGCACGCCUGCCUGGGCGUCACACAACGUUGUCCCCCCCACCACCAACCCCCUCGGGGGCGUUCGGGGGGACGGAUGGUGGCUUCCCGUGCGCACCGUCGCGCGGCUGGCACAAAACCAGGUCCUCGGCGGCGAGCGCCACGACAAUCGGUGGUUGUCAAACCUCGGUGCCCUGUCGUGUGUGCCCGUCGCAAUUCUUGGACCCGCUGAUCCCCUCGCGUCGCUUCGGCGUCGCUUUCGACGCGACCCCAGGUCAGGCGGGGUUACCCGCUGAAUUUAA
rnacentral:rRNA from 1 species